rnacentral:rRNA from 1 species
AACGUAGGAGGCGAGCGUUAUCCGGAUUUACUGGGUGUAAAGCGCGUGUAGGCGGUCCUGCAAGUGGCGCGUGAAAGCGCCCGGCUCAACCGGGCGAGGACGUGACCGAACUGCGGGGCUAGAGGCAGGUAGAGGCGUGUGGAAUUCCGGGUGUAGUGGUGAAAUGCGUAGAGAUCCGGAGGAACACCAGUGGCGAAGGCGGCCAGCUGGGAUACACCUGACGCUGAGAUGCGAAGGCGUGGGGAGCGAACGGGAUUAGAUACCCCCGUAGUCCCU